AGCAUUGCUUUCAUAGAAAAGUUUUCAAGCAAAAACAGUAUUCUGACGGUGCGAUUAAAUAUGGAAUCAAGAGUGCGAGCAAGUCCCGAGCAAAUGACAACGAUGCUUGAAUAUAUGGAAACUCAUGGUGACCUGGCGAGGCCUCUUGCUGGUCCACAAGGUCGGGUACGGUUAGACCGGCUCUGGACUGAACUGGCCAAUAUGUUAAAUGCUGUUGGUGGUGGUGUCAGCAAGACUACAAACAAGUGGAAAAAAGUAAACACCUAAUGAACAGUUAUUGAAAGAUUCUUCCUUCGCAACAGUGAUUCUUCCAUCACUGGUGCUAUGGGAGUGUAGCUAGCAAUCUUAUGUUUUCAAGGGUUUAAUGCAGUGUAUGAAAGUUGGCUUGAAAUCAGUCUAAAGAUUUUUGUAGAAUAUUUAAUUUUAUGUAAUAAUAUGUAAAGUUUAGAUUUUGUGUCAAAUGGCCA